ACAUUCUGUCUCCCGCUGCAGCGAGGUGACGUGCGUUAUCAGUUUUGUCUUCCAUGUCUUCCUCAUCCUGCUGUUUGCUCCACGGCUCUUGACAGGAUGGAGACGAGGAAAGAACUUCCACAUCCACAUUCAAAACGUCUGCCAGAACUCCCUCAGGCAAGAUUUUUAUGUGUAUGGUCAUUUCAAGUGAAUUUUGUAUACAGAGCAAGGUAAGAGUUGUAAAACAUGAAAGAAAUUGCACCUUUUCCUUAAGGGCAAGAUGGUGCUGUGGGCUUUCCUCUCUCCUGAUGAGAUGAUGCAAAUGGACUCCAUAGAGAAACGCUGCCCGUGUAACAAUGCAGUUACGCAACCCGGUGCAUGACACAUGAAUUGCAGCGCACCUGAGAUCCUGAUGAAAUCCUGGGAGCCUGGAGCUGUCAAACAUGGUUUUAAAAAAUAAAGGGAAUACACCCAGCCCACACCCUGACUUUACAACCUUUAAUUAAUUAGAGGAAAGAAAGAGAGAUUUGUCUGGUUUCAUGACUUCAACUUUCCACCUGGAAUAUGAAGCUCCUGCUCUUCCCACCUCCUUUUCUUCUCUCUCUCUCUCUCAGGUUUUUAAAUUUCUAUUUCCAGUUCUGCCACCAAAAAUAGAUUGCAAAUAUAUUCUGCAUAAUUCCGAGGCUACACUAUAAAUGUUGGAGUGCUACUACUUGUAUAAUAGUCACAAAUGA
rnacentral:lncRNA from 1 species